GGCAGUGUGAUCCUUCAUUUACCACGACUCCCUCCACAUGUAUUCUACUCAUACAACCUGGUCUCAGUGUGGCGGGUAGAGAUAUGGAUCCGUUCAGGGCCUUUCAGAGACGUUUCAGUGGCAGACAUCAGACUCCUGUUGGUAGCGCGACAAAGCCCUCGAAAUCUCAAAGCAGAGAAUAUGGCUUCAAUAAGAAAACAAUGUGCAUCCAAUAAGCAGAGAGCAAAAAUAGACUCAUCAACAACGUCCAAACCAUCAUCGCCUUGAAAGAAACCGUAAAGAGGAAAUUAAAGCAACAACCAAAAAGAACAUAUAAGCCAUAAAGAGCCACACUCGGGAGGACAGGAAGUCGGUUUAAAGACGAGAGGAGGCUUCGUUUGACAUCAACGGCGGAGAGAAGACGUCCGCCAUGUUCCUUCUCUGCAUCACGGACACAAUGAUUUAUUUUUUUACCUUCGACAACAAACCGCUCGCUCGCCUCUCUUUGUAAAUGUGCUCAAAGUCCAGAGGAAAGUCCCAGCAGGCUUUGCUUCAGCUCCUGGAAGCCCGCGGUGGGCAAUGAAGCACAUGAUACCAGAAAAAUAAACAACAUAAACUUCUCCUCCCUUUCCUUGUUUUCAGCCGGCAGGGCGGGAACAUACUCUUCUUCCUGGUUCUCAGUUUCUCAGUCUCUCGCUCGAUGGCUUCAGAUCUCGUGGUCGUUGUAGCUCACGUAUUUCUUCUUUGCUGCCGGACCUGAAUAAGAGGAGAAAAAGGAGAAUGAAAUACGAGCUUCAGUCAGGUCUGUUGGCUGUUAGUGUAGCUGGAGGUUAGUGUUGAGAUCAAUGGGAAAUGUACGGAAGAGGAUUAGGGCCAAAUGUGGACAUUUUGUUGAGAUCUGACCAAAGUGAAAUUUUUUGUGAUAUCUGAGAUGAGAGUCAGAAUUUUGAGGUAAAUAUAUAUAUUUUUUUCUUACAUUUUCUCCAAAGUCUGUCUUUUUUUCUCAGAAUUCUGAAGAAAAAGCAUUUGGGAUUUUUUUUAAUGGAAACUCAAGAAAAAAAUAUAUCUCAGAAUUUGAGAAUUUUACGGAAAAUCUCAAAAUUCCCAGAAAAAAAGACAGAAAUUUGAGAUAAAACAUAUUAAAUGUUUUCCCCCAGAAAGGGAGAAUUAGACUUUUUUUAUUAUAACAAAUGUUUUCUAAAAUAAUUUUCAGAAGUUAGAAUUUCUAGAAAAAAUGAUUUCUAUUAUUUUUCACGGAAAAUCUCAAAGUUCUGCGAAAAUACAUUUCUGGCUAGCUCUAAAAAAUGUGUUUCACAUGUGGCCCUUAUCUUCUUCCGUAGAUUUAGAGUUUAUGAUUGCAUGAAAAUGAAAUGUUAGAAGCUAAAACAGACGGUUUGAAUCAUGAAGGAGGAUUGUGCCGUUUGCAGAGCCUGAGAUCACUGACAAUAAUAACACCACCAAAUGUCGAGCAAAUUAAAAAAAUCAUUCGUGUUUGUUUUCAACUU